AAAAAAUCCGAUUAGCCUGUUAGUUUAGUUUAUACACACAUUUGCACUGCACACACUAUGUAUUUGCAAUCAUAUUUAAUGUAAUUCUGUGUUAAGCUGAAUAAGUGUAUUUUUAAAGUAAAAAUAAGUGUUAAAUGUAUUUCAAAGUAUUUCAGUUAUAAAUGAUGCAAAUUAAUGAUGUUCAAUAAUUCACUUAAUUAAUAAAUAAUAAUUAUAAUAACCUAUUAACAGUUAAGAAAUUACGUUCAGUUGGUUUUAUUAUACACAAUUUGUUUUCUUUCUUUCUACUCAUUAUAUAGUAAGCGAUAUGGGUAUUUUAAAUUAAUUUCAUUCAUAUAUACUUAGGAUAAUCAUUAACUGAAAGUUUGAGGAGAUUCGAUUUCGAGGGAGGACCCGAUUUGUCACGACACCGGCCUCAGCACAAAAUUCACAGAAUUGUCAAUUCUGUAUUUUUAUGUGUGUCAGAUUAACGCAUGAGGUAAACCGAUAAUGUCAUUGCAUCAAAACGUCACUCAAAUACUGCACUGUGACAUGCUCCUUUUCUGAAACUUUUUUCUAAAGGAUGUUUUAAAAUAGCUUUGGAGAGUUGUGUGUCUCUGAUAUGCGUUAAUAUGACAUCCAGAGACAGCUGGAGUUUUUUUUUUUUUUUUCUCUUUUUCUUUCGUUGCCUAAACUCACUGCAUUCUCCACUCCUCUCUCUCCCCCGCAGGCAUUCUCCUUUCAGCUGCAUUCUGCCACACGGUCUGAAAACAACAGGCUCUUGUGUGAAGACUAAAGAGCAGCGAGCACGAGAGCGCUCCGAUUUAGAGACUGGAAGAGUUGUUGGAAGCUUAAAUUGAAUAAAACCUGAAGAUGAAUGAAAGUCUGACGGGUUUGGAAUGACAUGAGGCAAAAAAAAGAGCCAAAUGGCUGCAUGAAAUAUAAGACUGUAAACAUCUGAUGCUCUGAUAAGGAACUGAAAAGCGCAGGAGACUCUCCAGAGAGACGCCGUAAGAAGAUCCUCCCGCUGUGGGUCCACGCAGCCGACCACCCAUCUCGAGCUCAGAGAAAGACUGAACGCGUUCACUCAUCACUUCAUUAUGUAAUGCUUAUUGCUUUGUUGAUGAUUCUAUUCUUACCAUGGUGCACUUCUGUGACUGAACAUUGUUAUCCUACAGUAUAAAUACUGAGCGAAUCGCAGUGUCACUUCAGCAGAGCUAUGGUUUGUGUGUUUCAUGGGCAAUAGCUCAGUGCACAUCGGGCUUAAAUGAAUCCUGAUGGAAAUGUCUCGACUGUUUUAGUUCCCAAACAAGGCUGAGCUGAAAAAGUGAUCACCCAGUGCAGAUGCUAAAUGAGAUAGUUAUAUAUGAAAACCUGAAGAAAACUGACACUGCAGCGCCACCAGAUGUUGAGGGUUAGUACAGCACACAUAAAAUGCAUCACAAUCAGUGCAGUUUUAUUAUUCUCAAAUAUGAGUCUUAGCAGGAAAUCAGUUUAAAAAGUCAGCAUGAAAUGGCCUUUGCAACCAAUUUCAAUCAAUAAACAGGCUUGUCAGCUUUUAAAAGGAGAAAGCGAUUCUCUAAUCUUUUGUCAUUGACGUCAGAGGCCGUCAAAAUCAAACUCGACACAGACUUUUUUCCAAAUCAAACUAUUCAGAUGCCAACAUGGACAGGUUGUGUGACAUGACAAAUUUUCAAAAACUACACAACAGUAAAAUAAAACAUGACCGUCAGCCACUAAUUUCUAUGUUGAGAAGUCACAAAAAAUUACUAAGCAUUACUAAACUCAGCCUAGAAGGCAUGUGUUUCUCCUUUAAUCUUGGUUUCAUGGUCUAUUUUUUUCAUCCUCCUCUCCGUCUGUCACUGAUGAAUAGAUUACGUCUUAUUUUCGGCUGGGUGGUCAUGAUUGAGUCCAUCAUUAUUGUGAAUAGGUAUGUGUGUGAUUUAUAGUCCUGAACAGCCUUCCCCUGUCAUAUGAGCAAAAAUAGAGAGAGCAGAACAACACGAUUGUGUCAAACACUGAAACUGCUAUCAUGUCUUCAUGUUCCCUUCAAUAGAAGGUGAAUCAAAUCAAUUUUAUGAGUUCCUUCUAUCACAAAUAUGUAUUUCAAUAGCACCUAUCAAGUACCCAAGGACAUUUCACAAUGAAUGAUAGGAAACAACUGGAACUGAAAUAAAAGAAGCCUAACAAAGAGACAUACUACAUGAAUACAAAACAUAUAAAAUCUGAAGAACACAGUUGGGCACUCUUUGCCUGGUAAGUGGUUGACAAUAAAAAAAAAAAAAUGCUUUCUGAAUCCUGGAGGAACAUCAUUUACAUAAAAACAAAUGGUAAAAUAAUUGGGUUUUUUAAAUUAACAUUUAAGUAAAUACUUUGAGAAGAAACCCUUUCAGUGGAGCGUUAUAUAAGUCACUUUUGGAAUUUCAUAUCUCUCAUUUUUGUAUAUCUGCCGUCUAGUAAACAAACCUUUUGGUUCUAGGACAAGCAUAAUUUCACAAAUCUCUAUUGUGUUUGGAUCAGUUGGUGUGGGCAGACUUUGCAUGUCUUUGAUGCAUCCGUUCCCCCUUUCUGGAAAAGGCUUGGGAAAUGAUUUAUUGCAGUAGAUUUGUUAUGCCUUUUCCACUGUUUUCCUAACAAACGUGGCAUGAAUUGAUGGCUUUCAGAAGAAAGAGCCAGAUCGCAUAAAUAUUUCAAUAUUUGAAUAACAUAUGGGUUUUCAACUGAGUUUAAGAAAGGGAGAGAUGAAAUUUCAUUGGGAGAGAGAACACCCAAAAGAAAACACUCUGAAAUUAAUUUAAUAAACUGGCUCUUAAGGGGGAGCAGAAUAGUAUGCUGUACACCACAUUAAACAAAAUGUUUCUUCUCUUUUCAUAUGAAAAAGCAAUAUUCUCAGUCCAGAGGUGACAUUUUUUUAUACUGUAUGGUGAUCAGGUCACCAUUUUCCUAGUCUGCUAGUCUUUUCUUUCCCCACCAAUCUGUACUCAGGUCAUUCAGAUUGACAUAAAGUGAGGUGGAGAAAAACUCCAAGAGAAACCAGUAACAACCUCAAAAGAAAGUAUUUUCCUUAAAGGUGCUGUGAGAACACAAACACCCACUGGAGGGCCCAAAAUGAGGUCCAAACUUUAACCACUUAAAACAAAACCCCAGAGAGUAGGGUGAUCAAAGCGGGAAACAUUACAUUACCAUACCGCAGGGAGGAAAAAUAUAUAAAGCAUGUGGAAACUGAAUCUUAAGAAUCAGUCUCCUAUAAACACUGAUCCUACUCUGGAGCUUUAUAAGCUCUUUAAGAGCACCUGUGGUCAACCAGUACUCAAGUAUUCUGAUUGGUGCAGGAGGGGGAGGAGACUAGAGCAAUCAACCAAUGAGAGAGUGAUCAUCUCUCUCACUUGAUGACACAAACCUCUUCAAAGUGAACAUGUGGAACAAUGUAGCAUACUGUUUACUAGUGUUGUAGUACUCGAGACCGGUCUUAAGACCUUUUUUUUUUUUGAAGGUCUUGGUCUUGUCUUGGUCUCAGUCGCAUUUAGUCUUGGUCUAGUCUUGGUCUCGGACUAUGAGGACUCGGGAUUUUAUUUCAAGACCGGUCAAAACCACAACUGCGGGGAUAUCUCUAAAUUGCCAUUGCAUUGUCUGAUUUCUUUGUUAACAUCAUUAAUUUGAUUGGAUGCAAAACAUCCUGCUUCAAAUGCAAUCAAUAACUUCUAAUUUAAUUUAUUUUGUUACUUUUGUGCCAGGUCACCAAAAUUAAUACAAAUGCCCACAAAAUUCAAGAUAUGAUUGCAAAAAAGUACUUUUAUAAGAUCUUGUUAUUUAUAUUAUAACAUAUGAUAUAAUUAAGCAACAUCACAAGAAAGAGGGCUGGUUUCACAAAUAUGAGCACAGUUGCAAACGUGAUAUUUUUUUACAAAUGUUCAAUAAACAAAAUGUUAUUUUUAAAACAUUAAUCUCAACAUUAUUUAUUUUAUACAUUUGUAAUUGUACCAAUUCAAAUGCAACUUCUGUUCAACCUCUGCAGUGUAAAGAUGAACUUUGUUGUUAGUGAUUUCAGUUGAUUGGUAACAGCUCUAUAUAGUGUCUUAUUAUUCUAACUGUAAUUAUUGAUUAAAAAUGAGACAUUUCUCAAAUAGUAAAUGUGGAUCUUUCAGAUGAAUUUGAGCAGUGCUGGUCUGUUCUUGGUCUUGACUCGGUCUCGAAUUGCCUUGGUCUUGGUCUUGCUCUCAAACCCCCAAAGUCUUGGUCUCGACACACACUGGUCUUGGUCUUGACUUGGCCUCGGUUUAGGUGGUCUUGACUACAACACUACUGUUUACUAUAAUGGAACAAUUAUUUUAAAAAAAAUUGUUGGUAGUAUAUACUGUACAGUGUAACACUAAAAAUAUAAAACCUGCCCUGAAAUCAUGAUCACUACCUGGACUGUGUUUUUGACCAAAUAAUUCCUCAAGUGCUUUAGAACAAUGAGAAUCUGACCUGCUGAUGGCAAUUGCUUAAAACUUCAUAUAUAAAUACUUCUAAUGUUCAUGGUGACUGUAUACAGGAUGGAUGCUCCCCUUGUUUUCUCACCUUUAGACCCUGAGAGAUAGCUGUCUGUCUCCUCUCUCUCUCCUGUAGGAAAAAUAAAGCUCUUGACUUUCAGCAGUCUGUUCUAUAUUUAGCCUCCAUGUCAUGGCCUUCAUCUUUGAACUCUCUUCAGUCUUGAAUAAUGCUGUGCACUCGGAGCACACACUCAUUGCCAUACCUACAGGAUCUGAUCUCUCAGUCAGAGCUCAACCAGUGUGGGCUCAA